rnacentral:lncRNA from 1 species
GCUCUAGUAAAAACACGAUGAACCAGCAAACAGAUCCAGAGGGGCAGCAAUCAUCUGAUCGUAAACUUAAAUUAACUUCAUAUAGACAAUACCUUAUUUCUACUGCACAUUCCAGAUUUUAAAUUAAGAUUUAUAUUAAAAGACAAACCUUAAAAUCGAGCUCGUCUUAUUCUGUUCAGCAGACGCAUCCAGCAGACCCAAAGCUCAAGGACAUCAAUUAUUUCCGGAGAACUACUUCACAUGCUUUCAUGGUCUCAAAUCUUUGUCCAAAGCAAUGCUGGUGAUUCUUGGCUUAGGUAAGCCUCCUACAAACUGAAAAAAAAACAUUUUCAUAAACUCAUUAGAAAUGGCUGAAUUUGAUUUCUCCUGCAAAACAAGGGUCGAUGCAAAUAGUAAAGCUCCGAGAGAAGAAGGAGAAGCAUAUAUGGUCAGUCCAAAUCAUGGAAAAAUUGCUCGAUCAUGCAGCUUCCUAUGAAUACGAAGACAAUGGAAGGACCCCACAACAUUUACCACCACGAAUAAAAGAAACAACACCUUAUGCCCUCGUUGAUGGUUACACUGUUAAUUUCAGGACUCAUUUCCUGAUUCGGAAAUGUUAAAUGUCGUUUCAAUUUCACUAAUACCAUUUUGACUUCAAAUGUGAUUAUGACUGUUUUCGAGUCUAUUUUGGUUAAAUUCAAAGCAUGAAACAUGUAGUCCUCUAAGUUAGCUUUUUAAUCCAACUUGAAUCAGGCUAGAUUGGAUGUCGGCUGACAAAAUUAUGCAUGAAUGAGUUACUGUUUGAGUUAAAGAUAACUCAAAACAUCAAAAUUGUAGGCGGUGUUCAUUAUAUCAUUCAUAUCUUUCUCACCCGACAUCAAAUAUUUGUUGAUUCAAGUUUGAUAAGAAAGCCAACUUAAAGAACGACAAAUCCCGGCGUUUUGACUUUUGCCAAAUUCAAACCCGAAACUGGUAAAAAUCACAUUUGAAGUCCGAAAGAUACUAGUAAAAAUAAAACGGCAUUUAUCAUCUCCCUUUCUGAUUUUGCCAGCCCUAGAAACAGACUGAAGUUGUUACUAACUAUUCUGCAGAUGAAAGAAAGACAGAUGUGGAAAUGGAGAAGAGAGAAACACCGAUUCUUAUUGCGGCAAGGAAUGGCAUAACUGAAAUAGUGGCUAAGAUCCUCGAACUAUUUCCGGUGGCCAUACACGACAUGAACAAUGAGAGGAAGAAUGUAGUUCUGCUUGCGGUUGAGAACAGGCAGCCACACGUGUACGAAUUCUUAAUGAAACGAAAAAUAAUGAAAGAAACCAUUUUCCGCAAAAUGGACAAAGAUGGCAAUAGUGCUCUGCAUCUUGCAGCAAUGUUGGGUGAAAACAAACCCUGGCUCAUCCCAGGUGCUGCACUGCAGAUGCAAUGGGAAAUUAAGUGGUACGAGGUACGAAGAUCGAUUCGUUUUUUUUUUCUUGGCACGAAAAUAAAAUGAAUUUGAUUCUUCUGAAAAAAAAUAAAAAAUGUUUAUGCUUGGUUUCGAUUGAAAUGCAGUUUGUGAAGAAUUCAAUGCCGAUGCACUUUUUCAUACGGUACAACCAGAAGGGGCAAACGCCGAGGGAAAUAUUCAGUGAAUCUCACCAGAAACUGCUCAAGGAGGGCGGAGAGUGGCUGACGAGCACCUCCGAGUCGUGCUCGGUGGUGGCGGCGCUGAUUGCAACGGUGGCGUUCGCGACCUCAG